rnacentral:ncRNA from 1 species
CCUAAAUCCGCGCCGGAUGGUCCUCUCUCGGCAAACGGAGAGGCUAAAAGGGAAUGCGGUGCGGGCGAAAGCCCAAAUCCGCGGCUGUCCCGCAACUGUAGGCGACGAGCCAAGGCCGGAAACCACUGGGAUUUUCCUGGGAAGGCGGCAUGAGGCGACGACUCGCAAGCCAGGAGACCUGCCAUCCCAAACAGACAAAU